AGUGAACGCUGGCGGCAGGCCUAACACAUGCAAGUCGAACGGCAGCACAGUAAGAGCUUGCUCUUACGGGUGGCGAGUGGCGGACGGGUGAGGAAUACAUCGGAAUCUACUUUUUCGUGGGGGAUAACGUAGGGAAACUUACGCCAAUACCGCAUACGACCUACGGGUGAAAGCAGGGGAUCUUCGGACCUUGCGCGAUUGAAUGAGCCGAUGUCGGAUUAGAUAGUUGGCGGGGUAAAGGCCCACCAAGGCGACGAUCCGUAGCUGGUCUGAGAGGAUGAUCAGCCACACUGGAACUGAGACACGGUCCAGACUCCUACGGGAGGCAGCAGUGGGGAAUAUUGGACAAUGGGCGCAAGCAUGAUCCAGCCAUACCGCGUGGGUGAAGAAGGCCUUCGGGUUGUAAAGCCCUUUUGUUGGGAAAGAAAAGCAGCAGGUUAAUACCCCGCUGUUCUGACGGUACCCAAAGAAUAAGCACCGGCUAACUUCGUG
rnacentral:rRNA from 1 species